rnacentral:rRNA from 1 species
GACGAACGCUGGCGGCGUGCUUAACACAUGCAAGUCGAACGGAAAGGCCCUGCUUUUGUGGGGUGCUCGAGUGGCGAACGGGUGAGUAACACGUGAGUAACCUGCCCUUGACUUUGGGAUAACUUCAGGAAACUGGGGCUAAUACCGGAUAGGAGCUCCUGCUGCAUGGUGGGGGUUGGAAAGUUUCGGCGGUUGGGGAUGGACUCGCGGCUUAUCAGCUUGUUGGUGGGGUAGUGGCUUACCAAGGCUUUGACGGGUAGCCGGCCUGAGAGGGUGACCGGCCCAUUGGGGACUGGGAUACGGCCCAGACUCCUCGGGGGGGCAGCGGGGGGGAAUUUGGCAAAAGGGGGGGAAGCCUGAUGCAGCAACCCCGGGGGGGGGAGGACGGCCUUCGGGUGGAAAACCGCUUUCCCCUGGGACGAAGGGUGGGGGAGGGGAAGGGGAAAAGAAGCACCGGCUAACUCCGG